GACAAAUCAUGUCCAGAUAGCUCAUGGUGACCCGGACUUUAAUUCUGUUUGCAAGUUGGAAGAGGUUGAUGGGAAGACGUUACUAAACUUGUCAGUGUGGAUGAUUGAGCAGUCGCUCCCUGCUAUGAAACUGCGAGUCAAACUGCUAAAACUGAUUGAACAGCUAAAAGGAGACAUAAAAGAAAGCUUGCCUGGACCCUCCAAUGUGCCUCGUGCUAGUAACACAG